UACGGGGGGGGCAAGCGUUGUUCGGAAUUACUGGGCGUAAAGGGCUCGUAGGCGGCCAAUUAAGUCAGACGUGAAAUCCCUCGGCUUAACCGGGGAACUGCGUCUGAUACUGGAUGGCUUGAAUCCGGGAGAGGGAUGCGGAAUUCCAGGUGUAGCGGUGAAAUGCGUAGAUAUCUGGAGGAACACCGGUGGCGAAGGCGGCAUCCUGGACCAACACUGACGCUGAGGAGCGAAAGCCAGGGGAGCAAACGGG
rnacentral:rRNA from 1 species